rnacentral:rRNA from 1 species
CAAGUCAAGGGGGCCCAGUAGCAAUACUGGGCAACCGGCGAACGGGUGCGUAACACGUGAGCAACCUACCGAACUGUGGGGGAUAGCCGGCCUAACGGCCGAGUAAUACCGCAUACGCUUUCUAAAAGGCAUUUUUUGGAAAGGAAACCUACGGGACAGAUCGAGGGGCUCGCGGCCUAUCAGCUAGUUGGCGAGGUAAUGGCUCACCAAGGCUACGACGGGUAGCUGGUCUGAGAGGAUGGCCAGCCACAUUGGGACUGAGAUACGGCCCAGACUCCUACGGGAGGCAGCAGUGGGGAAUCUUGCGCAAUGGCCUAACGGCUGACGCAGCGACGCCGCGUGUGGGAUGAAGCUCCUCGGAGUGUAAACCACUGUUGCCCGGGACGAAUAGCUCGAUUCAUCGAGCCUGACGGUACCGGGUGAGGAAGCACCGGCUAACUCCGUGCCAGCAGCCGCGGUAAUACGGGGGGUGCGAGCGUUGUCCGGAAUCACUGGGCGUAAAGGGCGCGUAGGUGGUUUGAUAAGGGUGUGGUGAAAGUCCGGAGCUCAACUCCGGAUCUGCCGUGCCGACUGUCAAACUCGAGGGCUGUAGAGGCAGACGGAAUUCCGGGUGUAGCGGUGGAAUGCGUAGAGAUCCGGAGGAAGACCGGUGGCGAAGGCGGUCUGCUGGGCAGUUUCUGACACUGAUGCGCGACAGCGUGGGGAGCAAACAGGAUUAGAUACCCUGGUAGUCCACGCCGUAAACGAUGGGUACUAGGUGCCUGGGGGAGCGACCCUCUGGGUGCCGGCGCUAACGCAGGAAGUACCCCGCCUGGGGAGU